AGUGAACGCUGGCGGUAGGCCUAACACAUGCAAGUCGAACGGCAGCACAGUAAGAGCUUGCUCUUACGGGUGGCGAGUGGCGGACGGGUGAGGUAUACAUCGGAAUCUACUUUUUCGUGGGGGAUAACGUAGGGAAACUUACGCUAAUACCGCAUACGACCUACGGGUGAAAGCAGGGGAUCUUCGGACCUUGCGCGAUUGAAUGAGCCGAUGUCGGAUUAGCUAGUUGGCGGGGUAAAGGCCCACCAAGGCGACGAUCGGUAGCUGGUCUGAGAGGAUGAUCAGCCACACUGGGACUGAGACACGGUCCAGGCUCCGACGGGCGGCAGAAGUGGGUAAUGGUGGACAAUGGGGGGAAGCCUGAUCCAGCCAUACCGCGUGGAUGAAGAAGGCCUGCGGGUUGUAAAGCCCUUUUGUGGGGGAAGAAAAGCAGCAGGAUAAUACCCCGCUGUUCUGACGGUACCCAAAGAAUAAGCACCGGCUAACUUCGUG
rnacentral:rRNA from 1 species